CCUACGGGAGGCAGCAGUGGGGAAUAUUGGACAAUGGGGGCAACCCUGAUCCAGCGAUGCCGCGUGGGUGAAGAAGGCCUUCGGGUUGUAAAGCCCUUUAGGUUGGGAAGAAGGUUGGUGGAGGAAAUGCCAUUAACUUGACGGUACCGACAGAAUAAGCACCGGCAAACUCUGUGCCAGCAGCCGCGGUAAUACAGAGGGUGCGAGCGUUAAUCGGAUUUACUGGGCGUAAAGGGCGCGUAGGCGGUGAGACAAGUGUGAUGUGAAAGCCCCGGGCUUAACCUGGGAAGUGCAUCGCAAACGGUCUGACUGGAGUAUAUGAGAGGGUGGCGGAAUUUCCGGUGUAGCGGUGAAAUGCGUAGAGAUCGGAAGGAACGUCGAUGGCGAAGGCAGCCACCUGGCAUAAUACUGACGCUGAGGCGCGAAAGCGUGGGGAUCG
rnacentral:rRNA from 1 species